UGAUAGAGUAAGUUGGCUUCCCAUUGAAGUUCAUCUCCAUAUAAAUUUAUUGAUGCAGAGGCCAUCUCUUUAAUGCAUAGAAAAGUUAUUAUUUUGGUAUAUGUUUCUAUCCUUUGUAUAAUGUCCAAUAGUUCUUGGCAGUAAUGAGGAGAAAACUAUCUCGUUGAUGUAAAACCUGCAAACAUGGAAGAUCUGACAGGUAAGCUUGAUGAUUUUUUUAAAUCUGUGCUAUAAACAUAUCGCUGUUGGUAGAACACUAACUAUUUAGUUCAUAUUAUUAUAGUUGUUACAAGUUGUCGUUGACUGACAAGUGAGUGCUUAAUGCCGACCCUAACCUUCUGAUAUGCCAACCCAACCUAAACUGAUAGCCUGAUGAUCCAAAAAAAAAACUAGGUUGGUACUGCAUUAAGAUUCGCGUAAAACCGAGAUCAUUGCUUCUAUAUCUGACAUAAAGUUUGGGAAAGAUGGAAGAUACAUACUCAGUCGUGAUUACAUGACUUUAAAGUUAUGGGACAUUAAUAUGGAUUCAGGUCCUGUUGCUACUUACCAGGUUCAUGAGUAUCUAAGACCUAAGCUUUGUGAUUUAUAUGAAAACGAUUCUAUUUUUGAUAAGUUCGAGUGCUGUCUGAGUGGCGAUGGACUACGGGUAGCAACUGGUUCUUACAAGUCUGUGAUACAAACUUAAUCCAUGGUUCAAUUGUCUCUGGAAUUGUUUAUCCCCAUGCAUGUUACUAUUUUGUUUCAUUUGUGUUGCCAGCAAUUUAUUCCGAUUCUAUCACACUUUCUUCUCGAUUGGUCGACAACCUGUGAUGCUGAUCAUACUCAAUCGUACCAUGUUCCUGUUCAGAUUUCUUUGUCUGCUUUUGCUACCUUGUCUUUUGUUAGCCUCUCUCAAUGGGAUCGUAAAUAUGGGUUUAGUAGGUUUCUUUUUCUUGAUAAAGUUACUGAUGAAAGUCUCAAGAUUCAACAGGGGUAUGCUCAACAGAUGAAGAGAACAAUGAAGCUCAUCUUGCUUUGGGGACUACCCUGUUUCAUAGCGGAAUGUGCAUACAAGAUAUGAUCAGCAUUGAAGAUGUAUUGAAGGAGUUUACUUCUAAGAAAUGCGGUAAACUUGGGAAAUUGCUUAAGGAAAGUGGUAAUCAUGGGGUUUAGAUGAAACACAAAGAUUCUAGAGCACCGAAGCUAACCGUCAAGCAU